AGCUCGCAUGCUGCCUUCAGCACCCGUGCCAGAGGUUGCCUACCCCUGUUAUAGAGGGUGAGUCUUCUGGGGAUGUUUUAUUUCUUGCAUUUGCUCAGGAAGUAGAUUUUGCUGGCAAGUUUUUCCUCCUUUUUCUUCAUGCUGUGGAGUUGCUAUUUCAGAUGGCAAAAUAUGAUAUCCUCCAUUGUUGUCUGCAGUUUUGUUGUGCCCACAUUGGCCACAGGAUAUUAGAAAGAUACGGUGGGUGAAGCAAUACCUUUUAUUGGACCAACUUUUACUGGGGAAAGAGACAAGCUUUCAAGCUACACAGAGCUCUUCAUGUUUGGGAAAGGCCUAGGUAGCAGCUAGCAGCAGGUAGAAUACACCAGAUCUAGGCUGCUCUGUACUUGACCCUGCGAUCUGCCCUUGAUGACUCAAAUGUUGAGAUAAGGAUAAACCUGGACACCCCGAUGCUCAGAUACUUGCUGAGGCUGCCAAGGCCUUGGUGGCGGGAGCAGCCAGAAUUGCUUCCUCACCAAGCAUCCCGUGGCACCUUAUAGACUAACAGACAUAU